GAUGAAGAACGUAGCAAAAUGCGAUAAGUAAUGUGAAUUGCAGAAUUCAGUGAAUCAUCGAAUCUUUGAACGCACAUUGCGCCCGCCAGUAUUCUGGCGGGCAUGUCUGUUCGAGCGUCAUUUCAACCCUCAAGCACAGCUUGGUGUUGGGACUCGCGUUAAUUCGCGUUCCUCAAAUUGAUUGGCGGUCACGUCGAGCUUCCAUAGCGUAGUAGUAAAACCCUCGUUACUGGUAAUCGUCGCGGCCACGCCGUUAAACCCCAACUUCUGAAUGUUGACCUCGGAUCAGGUAGGAAUACCCGCUGAACUUAAGCAUAUCAAUAAGCGGAGGA
rnacentral:misc_RNA from 1 species